rnacentral:rRNA from 1 species
GACGAACGCUGGCGGCGUGCUUAACACAUGCAAGUCGAACGGAAAGGCCCUGCUUUUGUGGGGUGCUCGAUUGGCGAACGGGUGAGUAACACGUGUGUAACCUGCCCUUGACUUUGGGAUAACUUCAGGAAACUGGGCCUAAUCCCGGAUAGGAGCCCCUGCUGCAUGGAGGGGGUUGGAAAUUUUCGGCGGUUGGGGAUGGACUCGCGGCUUAUCAGCUUGUUGGUGGGGUAGUGGCUUACCAAGGCUUUGACGGGUAGCCGGCCUGAGAGGGUGACCGGCGACAUUGGGACUGAGAUACGGCCCAGACUCCUACGGGAGGCAGCAGUGGGGAAUAUUGCACAAUGGGCGGAAGCCUGAUGCAGAAACGCCGCGUGCGGGAUGACGGCCUUCGGGUUGUAAACCGCUUUCGCCUGUGACGAAGCGUGAGUGACGGUAAUGGGUAAAGAAGCACCGGCUAACUACGUG